UCUACUGCGCCGCUGGCUAGCCAUCCCUCUCUCUCUCUCUCUCCCUUUCUCCCUUCCUCACCUCGCUACAACUUCCAUGUCUCUAUGCCACCGGAGUGGGGGCGGCGACGGUGGCUUGUAGCAAGCCGCACGUCUCCCUAUCUUCGUACUCUCUUCCUCGCUCGGCGUCCUCCAUGGAUGACGGCGCACCUCCGACGAGGUAGGUGGGGACGAUUUGGAUCUGAGGUCUCUCUUUCCCCUCCCUCCUCGUAUGGAUCUAGAUCUAAGCCCUCCUCUUCUUCUUCUUCUUCUAUGGAUCUAGAUCUGAGCCCUCCUCCCUCCUCCACGUUUUUCAACUCUGCUCCUCCUCCUCCUACUACUUCUCCUUUGGGUCUGGAUCUACGGGAUGUGGUGGUGGUUAAGGUUUCGAUGAGCUUUUGGGUUUCAGCGCUCGCGCAUGUUGUAAUGGUGUUCUCUGCUUGUUGCAGUACGUUUUCAAGUGAUGUUGCAGUAGGGUAGGAUUUUGACGAGCUCUCAGGUUCAGGUCUCGUCUUCAUUGCAAUGGUUCUCUCUAGACGUUGCAGUAGGUUUCAGUCGUUUGUUGCAAUACUCUGUUUCAAGAUGUUGUUUCACUUGCUUUAAUCUGCAUGUUCUAGUAGUUUCUUUCAUGUUGUUGCAGCAGUUGUUCGAUGUUGUUGUAGUACUAUGUCCAUGGUGUUUCAGUUGCUCCAUUUAAUGUUUUAAUCUUCACUGUUGUAUUAGUUGUUGCAUGUUGUUGCAACAGCUGUUCGGUGUUUGUUGUACUACUAUAUCCAUGGUGUUUCGGUUUCUCCACCCAAUGCUUCAAUCUAGCUGUUGCAUUAGCUGUUACAUGUUGUUGCAGCAGUCGUUCGUUGUUGUUGUAAUACUAGGUU
rnacentral:lncRNA from 1 species